GGUCGUAUAGCUCAGUUGGUUAGAGCGUGGUGCUAAUAGCUCAGCUGUUUGGAACGCCAAGGUCGUGAGUUCGACCCUCGCUAUGACCU